GCUUGUUAGUAACAAAUAAGGAAGUAUUAAGAGCUUGUUAGUAACAAAUAAGGAAGUAUUAAGAGCUUGUUAGUAACAAAUAAGGAAGUAUUAAGAGCUUGUUAGUAACAAAUAAGGAAGUAUUAAGAGCAUGUUAGUAACAAAUAAGGAAGUAUUAAGAGCAUGUUAGUAACAAAUAAGGAAGUAUUAAGAGCUUGUUAGUAACAAAUAAGGAAGUAUUAAGAGCUUGUUAAUAACAAAUAAGGAAGUAUUAAGAGCUUGUUAGUAACAAAUAAGGAAGUAUUAAGAGCAUGUUAGUAACAAAUAAGGAAGUAUUAAGAGCUUGUUAGUAACAAAUAAGGAAGUAUUAAGAGCAUGUUAAUAACAAAUAAGGAAGUAUUAAGAGCUUGUUAGUAACAAAUAAGGAAGUAUUAAGAGCUUGUUAGUAACAAAUAAGGAAGUAUUCAGUAAUCAGUAGUUAUAAAGAAGGAACUAUACAGUGGGACAAGACUCGCCACAGCCUCAAUUAACCAUUUCAUAUUAUAGUAACUGAUCAAUUAUAUUACAUUAAUUGGUCAAUUAAAUUAAUUAGGCGCUUAUAUAAUUGAUCAAUUAUAUAACUGAUCAAUUGAUCUGUGAGAAUGACUUAUCUCUCAUAUACAUGAAAUGGAAUUUGUAUAAGAUGUAUAUAUACAUAUUACUAUAUAUUCAAAAUCUUAUACAUACAUACAUAUAUGCAUAGCACUUGAUUCACAUACACGGAGUGAAGGGGCGGGGUCGUGGGCGUGUGCUGGGGACCCCCCCUUCCCCCCUCCUUCCUUCCUACCCUCCCUCCCGCAGCAAAGUAUUGAUGAUGCAAGUAUUGAUAUGGCUGGCCACGGAAACUAUAAGUGACACGCACC